UACGUAGGGGCCUAGCGUUGUCCGGAUUUAUUGGGCGUAAAGAGCUCGUAGGCGGUUCGGUAAGUCAGGUGUGAAAUCUCCACGCUCAACGUGGAGGCGCCACCUGAAACUGCCGUGACUCGAGUCCGGUAGGGGGAGUGUGGAAUUCCUGGUGUAGCGGUGAAAUGCGUAGAUAUCGGGAGGAACACCAGUGGCGAAGGCGGCUUCCUGGCCUGUUCUUGACGCUGAGGCGCGAAAGCUAGGGGAGCAAA
rnacentral:rRNA from 1 species